rnacentral:tRNA from 1 species
GCUGCCAUAGCUCAAUUGGAUAGAGCAACAGCCUUCUAAGCUGUGGGUUCUGAGUUCGAGUCUCAGUGGUAGUA